rnacentral:lncRNA from 1 species
UACUGUUAAUUGUGCCUUUUAUCAUGGGAAUUUUAUUACUUUAAUAAAUUUAGAUUUUUUUCCAAGUUUAAGAAAGAAUCCAGUUCACACUUUUUUAUUCUCUUCUCCUUCUGUUUCUUUGAAUUUAGCUGUUGACAGUGUCUUGAAGAGGAUGACAAUAAUUGGUGUAAUUUUAUCCUUCCGAUCAUUGGCACAAGAAGCACUUAGAGAUGUCUUAUCCUACCACAUUCCUUUUCUUGUAAGUUCAAUUGAAGAUUUUAAGGAUCACAUUCCAAGGGAAACUGAUAUGAAGGUAAUAAUAUAAUUUAUAGUUGGGGUUUACAGUCUCUAAAGCGAAAUAUUUAAAUUACAUAUGCAAGAAAAUGUAAUAAAUCCUAAACUACUGUAAGGUUUCUAGUUUAGAGUGGUUAGUUAGCAUGCUUGCCUUUGUAAUUGAAUCUUUGAGAGCUCAGCACCAAAAUACUACCUAGGCAUUUUGAAAGUCAGUCUUCUUUGAUCACCUAUAGCAAUGCAAAAUUGACUAAAAAUAGAUUUUUUUUUUCCUUAAAUGGAUAGCUGUUUAUACAUGGUGAUAAAGAAAAUUAAGAAAGAUGAGGUGGCCAGGCACGGUGGCUCACGCCUGUAAUCCCAGCACUUUGGGAG